AUAUAUAUAUAUUUUGUGCUUUAUAGUUAUGGUAGAAUCUGUUUAUUCAUUUAAAACUGAUAAAUGUUUCUCCAUGUACUAUUCUGGAUUUAACCGCCAUAAAGAUAGGAAACAAAGCGAAUCAUCAGCUUCAGUUGAAUAAAUAACUGUGAGUAUGUGUGUAUACACACACACACACCACACACACACACACACACACACACACACACACACGGGUUUGGUGAUACAUACAGGAAAAUAGAACUCAAAAUAUGAGCAGGUAUAUAUUUUCUAUUUAAUUAGCAGAGUGAUUCAAGGGUCACUUUUGUGUAUUGGCAUGUAUGUGUACACACGUGUGUGUGUGCAUAUAUAUAUAUAUAUAUAUAUAUAUAUACAUAUAUAUAUGUUAUUUUAUUCAUAAAUUAUAAACCUCUUUUCAAACAAUGUCUCUGAGUGUUCUUUACUGGUCUGUUGGUUUUGAAUAUUAUAAUAUUUAUUACAUUUUAGAAUUUAAGGACAGAUUAUCUUUCAACAAGAUAGAUUACUGUAUUUAAUAGUGUUUUGCUUCCGUUUUGAGUUCAAAUCCUGCUAUGUCCAACUUUGCUUUUAAUUCUUACAUUAAAUUAAUUACCGGUCGUUUUCUGGAUUCGGUAUAAUCAGUUAUGUGUUCCCAUAAAAAAGUUGUGGGUUAGUGGACAUGAUCAUGUGGUCAAGUAGUUUGCUUCGUAACCAGGUGUUUUGGGAUUAAUUACUCUGAGUGUCACUUUCGUCAAAUUUCUUCUGUAGCUUAGAGUUGACCAGUUGUUUGUAAGUGGUAUUUGGUUAACAGAAAGUACGUGUGUCUGUGUUUGUUUUUUUGUAUCCUAUGAGCCUCCAGUUCAACAAACAGAGAUCAAUAAAAUAAACAAGUGAAUGAAAUGAGUAAAUAUCGGGAUUGGUAUAAUCGACUGAAACUCAUGCAGGUGUUUGGUAUCCCAGCAUUGUUGUAAUCCAAUGAUCAAAAUCAGUAAAAGACUUGUAUCUAUUUAAGAAUUUAUUAUAUUUUUUUAAGGUAAAAAUAUCAUAAAUUUAUUGCAUAAUUUUAUUCAAGUGUAUACAUAUAUAAUUACAAUGAGUGUUUUUAUAUACAUAAAAACAACGAACAUAGACUAAAUAAAGGACUCAAUACAUGUACAGAGUCAAUCAUUUAUUAUAAUUUUAUUGACAGUGACUACAAAAUUGUCCUAAGUAUAUGACUGUCAAUAAAUUUGUAAUUAAGGUGUCUUUGUUUUGUGCCUUUGCAAUUUCAAAAUUGGGUAUGUGAGUAAGAGAAAGGGACAUUAGUGUAACCCCAAAUUUAGUUCAACACUGUUGGUGGUUGUUGUAUAGCCCUGAGUUAGCCCUAAUUGACCAGCAGACUUAUUAUCACAUACCAUCAAAGACAUUCUAGCUGGGAACGUCUUUCCUCUUCAGAUGACAUCCAAUAUGCUCUUCCUUCCAUUUUUUUGUUUUCAAGACAGUAUGGUGUUAUUUUAGAAGAGAUUUGGCUGUUAGUUCUAACAGGUCAAAGACCACAUGCAGGUUGUUUCGUUUUUAAAUUUAGCCCCUUUUAUAGGUUUUGAGCAGAACUGGUCUUUGAUCCUAUAUUAUAUUAGAAGGAUUGAUCACUUAUUAGUCAGUGCUUCAUUGUUUGACGAGAGACAUUUUUACUAACGAAGGGCAGUUGUAGAAUUUCAGGUCUGUCUUACUUGAGAGCAGAUUUUCACCUUCACUAUCACAAUCUUUUUUUUCUUCCUAUUUUUGCAGAUAUAAUUUAGGAUUACAUUAUUUAGUGUAUUUUUUUAAUUUUUAAAAAUAAGUAUAAUUUGAGAGUUACUUUAGCUGCUAUUUCGUGUAGGUUGAGUGGCCAUGUAGAGGUUCUUAUGGUGAUUUAAAGGGAUGAUAGAUGGUAGCAUAUGUAUAGAUAGUUCAGAGGAAGAUAUCUUAUGUUUGGGCAUCUGGCUUUUAGUGGCAAAAGUGAGAAAAAGACUGUUUCUUUUUCUGGAGAAGGUUAAGCACCCAAAAGGUUAAUUUCUCUUCUGCCUCGUGGCAUAAAACUUGUUCCACUGUUUGAAUUAUUUGUAUACCUAUCCUUGUUUAUCGCAGAGGUUUGGUCCUCCACCCCAACAAAAGCCCCCUGAUAAAUGAAUCCUCUCCCCUCACUUUGCAAAUGGAACUAAUGGUAGCUUUAUUGGCACCAAACUUGUGACCCACAGCAGUGAAGCUAUCAUUGUCCUCUAUUUUCUUGAUUAUCUCUACCGUUUCCUCUUGGGAAUAUACUCACCUGUGAUGUUUAUUAGGGUCAGGUACCUUCGUAUUUUUCUGUUCACUGGUUUAAUGUUAAG
rnacentral:lncRNA from 1 species